rfam:Chlorocebus sabaeus isolate 1994-021 chromosome 2, whole genome shotgun sequence.
GACAGGCAUGGUGACGCGCGCCUGUAGUUCCAGCUGCUCUGGAGGCUGAGGCAGGAUGAUCGCUUGAGCCCAUAGGUUCUGGGCUAUACCCAUUGGGUUUCCACACUAAGUUUGGCAUCAGUAUGGUGACCUUCUGGAGCAGGAGACCACCAGGUUGCCUAAGGAGAAGUGAACUGGCUUAGGUUGGAAACAACAGGUCAAAACUCCUGUGCUGAUCAGUAGUGGGAUUGCGCCUAUGAAUAGCUGUUGCACCAUUGCACUCCAGCGUUGGCAACCUAGCAAGACCCAAUCUCUU